rnacentral:rRNA from 1 species
UACGUAGGGUGCGAGCGUUGUCCGGAAUUAUUGGGCGUAAAGAGCUCGUAGGCGGCCUGUCGCGUCGGAUGUGAAAGCCCGGGGCUUAACCCCGGGUCUGCAUUCGAUACGGGCAGGCUAGAGUGUGGUAGGGGAGAUCGGAAUUCCUGGUGUAGCGGUGAAAUGCGCAGAUAUCAGGAGGAACACCGGUGGCGAAGGCGGAUCUCUGGGCCAUCACUGACGCUGAGGAGCGAAAGCGUGGGGAGCGAACAGG